UCACGGUUUCCUUCGGCACUAAGAAAUUCUUUCUCGCGCUCCCCACUCGAAUUCCUUUCGCGCUCUUUCCACGAAGUUCAACACUGAAAACCUCUUUGCAUCACUUAACAGACCAUCUGCUUGAUUGACGUUCAAUCGAAGGUCAUUCGACGUUAACUCGAAGGAGACGAAGCUCGGUGGAGAAUGUCCGUUUUGAUUCACUGUGUAGAGGACCCUGAUAUCUCCACCUAAUGGAUUGUUGGACACAACAAAUUCCUCUAAUAAGCUCGUCUCCUGCAAAGACAAGGUCAAUCCACCAGUGAAUUUGUUAUUCCUAAGGUCCACAAGGUCAGAUUCUUAGAGUGCCAGAUAACAUUUCAAGUUCCGGUGGAGAAACCAAGAUUGACAUUGCAAAGUGGAAGCGCAAGGCAUUUACUACUAUUUCUAUCAAGUUUUCAAGAACGAGGCAGUGGCGAUUACAGCUGCACGGAAAUUGAAAAAGCAUGGAAAUGGUCCUUGAAUGUGUUGCUGACAAAUCCAAUAUGGGUUUUAGUAACUCCGAUGCAGGUGCUUUCAGAUGCUUUUAUUUUCUUCCUGGACUGUUUCAUAUGAUUAUAUGUUGUCAAACAUAAUUCUGGUUGCUUUUCAUUUGAUCUUUUUCUUUUCUAUUUUAUUAAUACGGUCAUUUACAUGGAGGCAUUAUGUAUGUUAAGUUAAUUUUAGUUUAUAGAGAUGUUAAUUUUAUUUUUA